rnacentral:rRNA from 1 species
AACGAACGCUGGCGGCAGGCCUAACACAUGCAAGUCGAACGCACCGCAAGGUGAGCGGCGCACGGGUGAGUAACACGUGGGAAUGUAUCCUUUGGUUCGGAAUAACGUCUGGAAACGGACGCUAAUACCGGAUGAGCCCUUAGGGGGAAAGAUUUAUCGCCGAAGGAGCAGCCCGCGUCUGAUUAGGUAGUUGGUGGGGUAAAGGCCUACCAAGCCGACGAUCAGUAGCUGGUCUGAGAGGAUGAUCAGCCACACUGGGACUGAGACACAGCCCAGACUCCUACGGGAGGCAGCAGUGGGGAAUAUUGGACAAUGGGCGCGAGCCUGAUCCAGCCAUGCCGCGUGAGUGAUGAAGGCCUUCGGGUUGUAAAGCUCUUUCGCACACGGCGAUGAUGACGGUAGUGUGAGAAGAAGCCCCGGCUAACUUCGUGCCAGCCGCCGCGGUAAAAC